UCUUAUCUUCAACUCCUGAAGCUCUAUCCUACCCUUAAAGGGCCAGGAAGAUGGUGGCCUUUUGUCUUCCACAAUCGCCGGGGGUUCCGGUGGAAUGUGCAUGAACUGCUUGAUGCGUUCAACUGAUAUCAUGUAGUUGGCUAAGUUGCAAUACCAACGUGUCAGGAAAACUUGGGUGCCAGUAAGCGACAAUGCAUAAGACAAUGAAAGUCCCACAAGUCCUGGUGCUACAACUCCUUUUGGAAGCAAUACAAGUAGAAGAGAGGCAGUGACUAAAGUCACAUUCUGCAUUGCCUCUAUUCUAAUAAUUAGCCACUCCAAUGCCGCAUUCGAAUGGAAGAAAAGUACAGCAUCCUUGUCCACAAGCUUUAGGUAGUUUUGGAAGAACCUGUCUGCCAUUUUGAAAGCUCUUAUUGUCACUACACCAAGUGAUGUCUCAGCUGCAUAAUUCAUGACAGGGGCUUUUGUCGUACCAUUGAUUCUUAUCAAUUCCCUUGCAGAGGCUAAAUAAUAAUCCUGAACAUAUUUUGAACCUGCUAAGGCAAGAAUUGCUAUAAUGAG
rnacentral:misc_RNA from 1 species